rnacentral:rRNA from 1 species
AGAUUUCCCAUAACUUUAUGUUAGUAAGAGCCCUGAGAGAUGAUCAGGUAGAUAGGUUGGAAGUGGAAGUGUGGCGACACAUGUAGCGGACCAAUACUAAUCGCUCGAGGACUUAUCCAAG